ACAAGGUAAAAUUAGGCAGGGGGCAGGUUUUCAAGCGGUACUGCACUUGAACUGCUGAGUUGGCUGUGAAAAAUUAGCAAGAGCCCCCUUUUCUGCUUUGGUUCUCAGGUCUGCUCUCUCAGUUAGGAGAAGUCUACUUGCAUCCUCUCUUAUGUUUUUAACAACUCUCCAUCUUCAGGUAACAGCACCCACUUUUACUUGAGGAACCCCCUCCUGCACCGGCGACCGUUUGGUGGCACUGUCAGUCAAGAGGGUCUGCCUGCCCAGAUGCUGGUCAUGUGACCCAGGCUAGGCCAAUCAGAUUCCCUCCCCCCGGAACAAGCCCAAAGGGGAUCCUGCAGAGAAGAAAAAAUUGUCAAAGUGCCUUGAAGAGUUUUGUCAGUUCCUGUUGCCUAGAUCUUUGGAGCAGCUCUUUCUAAAGUGCCCUGCAAAAGGAGUCAAGAGGCUGUGCCUCUGGCAUCCCAACCAAACUGGACAUGGAAGUCUGCUGGCAAGACUGUCUUGAGGCUCACUGUGGCUGCUGCAUGGAGAAAUGGACGCAGGGCUGCACAAGGACCAAUGAGAGGAGAGGCACAGAGACAGUCAGGAACCCAGUCCGGCCACCACGAGUGACACUAUGAUGGUCCCCACCAGGGCAGUGGGGAUGCAGAUAGGAGAAGGCUGCAAGACAGAGCUCAGACACUGAUGUAUUGGCUCUGAAACAAAUCAGAUAAAAUAAUUUGGAUAUCUUAAUGCCAGAGGCCCUUCCAUCAAAUAACAGCCAGCUUUUCAGAGACCACACGUUGGCUCCUGACAGUGACAAAAUUGGUGUCGCCACAGAAGUCCCAGAGCAGGGACUUGGGUAUGUUCCAGUAGAGCAGAGAGGAGAAGGAAAAUGUAUGUUCCUUCCCAAAUGUCCAGCAACAAAUGACUGCCGAGUGAGAAAGAAAUUUAGCCAAAGUACAGAAGGAUGGUCUGGCCACACUGCGGACCCUUGAGAAGUGAGAUGUUAUUUAUGGAGACAGUGACUUAUUCUCCUAAACAACCAUAAUGUCCUGACCUGUCUGAUUCCCGUGAAAACCUCUAGUUCAACUUCCAAUUUGAAGUUACAAAAAUGAGCAUGGGUCCUUCAGGAAUUCAGAUUUGAUGUGAAGUAUAUCCAAAGACCUGCCAACAGAUGUUACAGCAUCUUGGAAAUGUUCAAGACUCGUGCCUGCUGACAGAAGCGUUAAGUAGAAUCACUGUUCUGAUUUUUUUUAAGCUAGGAUGGGGGAUUGUGCUUGUCCUGGGGUGACCUUCAGGAGUCUCCUCUGUUCCUCACAAGAAACAACAAUCACAGUGAUGAUGCUAAAAACAGAACACAACAAAGCUCCCACUUCACUUACAUGUACAAUAAUCCUAUAGACUUAUGACCCCCAUUGUUAGAUAUGAAGAAAGUGAAUCUCAAGAAGUAAAAUAAUUUACCAGUGUCAUAAAAGGAAGCAGCAGAGAUGGGUCUAAUACAAAAUCAAAAUCUGAACUGUGGAUCUGCAAACAAUGGCCUGAGGGCAAAACCCCAGCUACCACUUGUUUUUGUAAAUAAAGUUUUAUUGGAACAUA